AUGAGAGAACGCUACCCCGCCCUCCGCCUGUUCCCCGCGCUGCACGCAGAGAGGGUGGUAGCCUACUCUGGUCAGAGGAACCUGAAGGAUCUGGUGCAGUUUCUGGAGAAAGAGAUGGAAAGAGCCAAGAAGGACAGGGCCCAAGAGGAGGAGGAUCGGAGGAAGUACAUUGAGACUCAGAAAGCUAUUGAGGCCAAAGAAGCAAAAGAAGCCAAAGAGGAAAAACAAGAGCUGUAGUGUGUUUACCUGUAGAAUAAAACCUGUAGUUAUAGUAGCUGUAACCUAGUAGUAUAAAACCUGUAGUUAUAGUAGCUGUAACCUAGUAGUAUAAAACCUGUAGUUAUAGUAGCUGUAACCUAGUAGUAUAAAACCUGUAGUUAU